rnacentral:rRNA from 1 species
AUUGAACGCUGGCGGCAGGCCUAACACAUGCAAGUCGAACGAGUGGCGGACGGGUGAGUAAUGUCUGGAAAACUGCCUGAUGGAGGGGGUUAACUACUGGAAAGGGUAGCUAAUACCGCAUACCAUGAGAUGUGGGCAGAUGGGCUUGGCGUGUUGGUGGGGUAACGGCUCAUAAAGGCGACGAUCCCUAGCUGGUCUGAGAGGAUGAGCAGCCACACGGGAACUGAGACACGGUCCAGACUCCUACGGGAGGCAGCAGUGGGGAAUAGUGCACAAUGGGCGCAAGCGUGAUGCAGCCAUGCCGCGUGUAUGAAUAAGGCCUGCGGGUUUUAAAGUACUUUCAGCGGUUAGGCGUUACCCGCAGAAGAAGCACCGGCUAACUCCGUGCCAGCAGCCGCGGUAAUUC